rnacentral:rRNA from 1 species
UACGGGGGGGGCAAGCGUUGUUCGGAAUUACUGGGCGUAAAGGGCGCGUAGGCGGCCUGCUAAGUCGAACGUGAAAUCCCUGGGCUCAACCCAGGAACUGCGUCCGAUACUGGUUGGCUUGAAUCCGGGAGAGGGAUGCGGAAUUCCAGGUGUAGCGGUGAAAUGCGUAGAUAUCAAGAGGAACACCUGCGGCGAAGGCGGGUUGCUGGGCCGACACUGACGCUGAGGCGCGAAAGCUAGGGGAGCGAACGGG